rnacentral:rRNA from 1 species
GACAAAACUGUCUCUUACGGACUAGCCAAUGAAAUUGAUCCUUCAGUACAAAAGCUGGAAUUAACCCAUAAGACGAGAAGACCCUGUGGAGCUUCAAAACCAAAAUCACUAAACAUGCCUCCUGGUUUUUUAGUUGGGGCGACUUUGGAGCAAAAAAAAUCCUCCAAAACAUAAAGUCAUUUAUUAAGAAAAACACACCAAAAAUAAUAUUAUAGACCCAGCAGUACUAGUUUACUGUCUGAUCAAUGAACCAAGUUACCCCAGGGAUAACAGCGCCAUCCUCUUCUAGAGUCCUUAUCGACAAGAGGGUUUACGACCUCGAUGUUGGAU